CGUGUAGGCUGCUUGGCAAGUCGGGUGUGAAAGCCCUGGGCUCAACCUAGGAAGUGCACUCGAAACUGCUUCGCUUGAGGGUCGGAGAGGAAAGCGGAAUUCUCGGUGUAGAGGUGAAAUUCGUAGAUAUCGAGAGGAACAUCGGUGGCGAAGGCGGCUUUCUGGACGACUACUGACGCUGAGACGCGAAAGCGUGGGGAGCAAACA
rnacentral:rRNA from 1 species